rnacentral:rRNA from 1 species
UUGAGAGUUUGAUCCUGGCUCAGAACGAACGCUGGCGGAAGGCUUAACACAUGCAAGUCGAACGAUCUCUUCGGAGAUAGUGGCAGACGGGUGAGUAACGCGUGGGAACCUACCUUAUUCUACGGAAUAACAGUUAGAAAUGACUGCUAAUACCGUAUACGCCCUUCGGGGGAAAGAUUUAUCGCUGAUAGAUGAGCCCGCGCUCGAUUAGCUUGUUGGUGAGGUAACGGCUCACCA